GACAGAGGUGGCAAGCGUUGUUCGGAAUUACUGGGCUUAAAGGGCGAGUAGGCGGUGGAGCAAGUCUGAGGUGGAAUCCUAUGGCUUAACCAUAGAACUGCCUUAGAAACUGCUUUACUUGAGUCAGUGAGGGGAGGGCGGAAUUCCUGGUGUAGCGGUGAAAUGCGUAGAUAUCAGGAGGAAGGCCUGUGGCGAAAGCGGCCCUCUGGCACUGUACUGACGCUGAGGCGCGAAAGCGUGGGGAGCAAACAGG
rnacentral:rRNA from 1 species